rnacentral:SRP_RNA from 1 species
CUUGCAGACUUGUGCAAUAGGCUUACGGAGCAACGCUUCAGGGUGGGAACACAGCAGAGCACUCUGUGAAUCUGUGUGCCAUAAGCACCUGCAGGGGA